rnacentral:rRNA from 1 species
UACGUAGGCAGCAAGCGUUGUUCGGAGUUACUGGGCGUAAAGCGUGCGCAGGCGGUUCGUUGUGUCGGCGGUGAAAGCCCCGGGCUUAACCUGGGAAUGGCCGUUGAAACUGGCGAACUGGAGUGUGGCAGAGGGGGGUGGAAUUCCGCGUGUAGCAGUGAAAUGCGUAGAGAUGCGGAGGAACACCGAUGGCGAAGGCAGCCCCCUGGGCUAACACUGACGCUCAGGCACGAAAGCGUGGGGAGCAAACAGG